GACGAACGCUGGCGGCGUGCUUAACACAUGCAAGUCGAACGGUAAGGCUCCAGCUUGCUGGGGUACACGAGUGGCGAACGGGUGAGUAACACGUGGGUGACCUGCCCUGCACUUCGGGAUAAGCCUGGGAAACUGGGUCUAAUACCGGAUAGGACCAUGGUGUGGAUACUGUGGUGGAAAGUUUUUUCGGUGUGGGAUGGGCCCGCGGCCUAUCAGCUUGUUGGUGGGGUAAUGGCCUACCAAGGCGGCGACGGGUAGCCGGCCUGAGAGGGUGGACGGCCACAUUGGGACUGAGACACGGCCCAGACUCCUACGGGAGGCAGCAGUGGGGAAUAUUGCACAAUGGGCGGAAGCCUGAUGCAGCGACGCCGUGUGGGGGAUGACGGCCUUCGGGUUGUAAACUCCUUUCACCAUCGACGAAGGGUUUCUGACGGUAGAUGGAGAAGAAGCACCGGCUAACUACGUG
rnacentral:rRNA from 1 species